rnacentral:rRNA from 1 species
AGUGGGGAAUCUUGGACAAUGGGCGAAAGCCUGAUCCAGCCAUGCCGCGUGGAUGAUGAAGGCCCUAGGGUUGUAAAAUCCUUUCGUUGGGGACGAUAAUGACGGUACCCAAAGAAGAAGCUCCGGCUAACUUCGUGCCAGCAGCCGCGGUAAUACGAAGGGGGCUAGCGUUGUUCGGAUUUACUGGGCGUAAAGCGCGUGUAGGCGGGCUGGAAAGUUGGGGGUGAAAUCCCGAGGCUCAACCUCGGAACUGCCUCCAAAACUUCCAGCCUGGACUCAAGCAGAGGCAAGUGGAAUUGCGAGUGUAGAGGUGAAAUUCGUAGAUAUUCGCAGGAACACCAGUGGCGAAGGCGACUUGCUGGGCUUGUAGUGACGCUGAGACGCGAAAGCGUGGGGAGCAAA